GCGGAUAUGGUGGAAUUGGCAGACACGAUAGAUUUAGGUUCUAUUCCGAGAGGGUGCAGGUUCAAGUCCUGUUAUCCGCA
rfam:Clostridium sp. CAG:510 genomic scaffold, scf44